CUGCUCUUUUGCCUGGCUACUCUUACUCAGCUAAAAUGUCAUUUCUUCAGUGAAGACUUUCCUGAUGCCCUGUCCUAACAGGGGGUCAAGGUCCCCUGUGUAAUGACACUGUGGGAGCUCCACCCAAUCCCCCUGUGAUCCUUCUGCUGCUCUGAGGAUCCCUCCCUGGCUUCAUGGGCAUCUGCCCUCCACCACCUGUACCUGCACCUCUGCAUCGAAGGACUUCCUGUGGGCCACUAGAGCCACCUUGCCCACAACCAAAGAGCCAGGAAUGUGUGGGUCCGUGUCUCCCAGGGUGGCCUUUUGCCAAGGGCUGACGGGCAUAGGAGUAUGAAAGUCAGGCUCACCAGCCUCAGGUUGGGACAACUCUGAGCCGUAACUUAUACCCCCAAGUCCCCUGUGGGGUCAAGUUGAUGCUGUCUCCGUCAUGAAUUUGCAGGAGGUCUCCCCUUUGCUCAGCCUUCUCCUCAUCCCUCUCCUGCUUCUGCAGUCCAUCAUCUUACUGGUCUCCCCAUGGGCUGCUUUCUUAAUACGUCACUUUCACGUCAAGACUCCGCCCCACCUGAGCUCCCUGUUAUUACUCUCCUAAUGCCGUGGACUCCUCCUUUGUAGUCCUUAUGAGAACUUUAAAUACUGAAUUACUUAUUGCCAGUCUCCUCCAAUAAAACAUACCCUCCCUGAAGGGAAAGAUCGUUAUCUUAUUGGUUGUUGAUUCUCCAGGGCCUACUUCUGGAAGCAUUACCCAGUAGUUUUAUUAGUAGUUAUGGAAAUACUAGUCCUAACUCUCUUGCUAAUAGACAGUAAAUUAUUUGAAGUCAGGACCCAUGUCUGAGAGACUUUAUGUUCUCUGCUUCAUCUACCUCUGGACUUUGCUGAUAAGACAUCAGUCAAUGUUAUUGGAUGAAUAAAUGGUAUUGAAUGCUAACAUUUAUUGAGCACUUUCUCUGUGUCUGGCCAUGUCCUAAGAUCCUCCCCUGUGAUAUCUAAUUGGGUCCUUACAACAGUCCUGUGAUAAAGGAACAAUGACCACUCUCAUUUUAUGGAUUAGCACCGAGGUGUAGAGAGCUUAGGUGCCCGGCCCAAAAACACACAGCCAGUACACGGAGAGCGGGAUCUUGAAUUUGAGUUCUGUCUGAUGCCAAAAGCCCCAAGUCUUGCUAGCUUCCUCAGUUGGAAGGAAUUGACACAUGUCAGAAUUCCUUUGAGGCUGAACCCUAUUCCAUUGUAUGGAGAGACCACAUUUUGCUUAUCCAUUCAUCCGUUAAUGGACACUUGGGUUGCUUCCACUUUUGCGCCAUUGUGAAUGAUGCUGCUAUGAACAUCGGUGCACAAACAUCUCUUUGAGACCCUGUUUUUGGUUCUUUUGGGUGUAUACCCAGAAGUGGAAUUGCUGAAUCAUAUGGUACUUCUAGUUUUCAUUUUUUGAGGAAAUUCGAUACUGUUUUUCACAGCAAUGGCACCAUUUUUCCGCUAACAGUGCACAAAGGUUCCAAUCUCUCCACAUCCUUGCCAACACUUCUUUUCUUUUUCUUUUUUUAUAGUAGCCAUCUCGCCAUCCUAAUGAAUGUGAGGUGACCCAUUUAAUUUUUAAUUUAAAUUUUUGACAAGAUAAUCCAGUCAUGUGGAUGAAAAAAUCAAAGAAAUGACAAAAAGAUCAAUAGUCGAAAAUAUUUCUCCUGUCCUCAUUCCCAUGCCCUCUGAAACAAAACUUCUCAGGGUUCACUGUCGUCAUGAAGACAUACUUUAGCAUCACUAAAUGUAUCUGCCUUUGUGAUUUGCAAGAGGGAGCAAAGAGCAUGCUAACGGACUUGGGAGGAUGCUGCAUUAACUGCAAACUUCGUACUACAAACAUAGAAAUAAGGAAAGCAGGCAUCGAGGUGCUAGACGUGUGGUCAGGAAGUGAAAAAAGUGAGCUGCCGUUGGAAAAGAAAUGAUUAAUAAAGAGUAUUGUUAGGAUGGAGUCAAAGUGGAAGGUAGACGGUGACGUUCUUGGAUUUCUUUGAACGAGUUCACGUUGUCCUAAGAAGGUGGGGUACAUCGCUGGACACGAUACACCUUCAGAAACGGUCGAUCGACACCGUGUGGACUCACCCCAAGCUUCUGCAGCAGUCGCUCACCUACGGAACGGGGACUUCAUACCAAUGGGGGCUCGUCAUCCGGUGGCUGUGAGGGUUGAAUGAGAUGAUAUGAGUGAAGACUUGGAAUACAGCUCGGCAUCGUGUUUUAUAAAUGCGAGGCAGCUGUUCUGGAAAACAAACGAAGAGCCAGCCUCCGGGACUCUCGCGUGACUGAUCCCCUGUGAGGCCUGGGGUUGCUGGGGGCUGUGGAGUGUUCGAGGUGCGUACCGAAACCAGGCCACUUUCAGGAAGCGUUUCUAUUUCAGUUUUCCUGGCAAAUUACCUUGAGAGAUCUGAGAAGAAAGGGAUGCGAGUUUCCAAGACACUUAUGAUGUGUUUUUAUUUCCUAGUUUUAAAUAAAUAUGCACUUCCAUACCUGGUGUUGUGUACAUGAUUUUGUGUUUUUCUGAAAGAGGGUCUCCAAAAUUGUCUACAGUCCUGCAGCACUUAGCUCUGUCCCCGAUGCCUCACUGUUAUUAUGAUGGUCAGGAGGUUUAGGGAGAGGCAAAGGAUGUCCUAGUUUUUGAAAACAUGGAUUACAGAAAUUAAUAGGCAGUCGAAAGGAUGUCAGCGCUUCAUAAAGCUCUUGCCUCCCUCCCUGCCUGUCGGCUUUCCUCCCUUCCUUCUUCCCUCUCUGCAUUCUUCCCUCCCUUUCUUUCCCAAGCAUGCUGCUCCAGACACUGUUCUAAGCGCUGACACUAUCAGAUCCCGCUCUCACGGAGCUUAUAUUGUAGUUGAGGCAGCACAGAAGGAAGCAAAGCACAAAUAAUAUAUUUCGCACACCCAUGAGUGCUGGGAAGCAAAAUAGAGCAGGCUGAUGGGAGAGGGCAAGUGGGGGGAGGGAUGCUUUAGGUCAGGCGACCUGCAAAGCCCUUGUAGAGUGGUGACGUUUCAGCUGAGACCUGAAUGGUGAGCAGGCACCAUCCUGGAGCGUGGAGGGGUGUUCCAGGCAGAGCCAAGAGCAAAUGUAAGAUCCCAAGGUGAGAGGAGGCUUGGCAUGUGUGUGUGUGGAGGGGUGGCAGCUGGAGCAGCAGGGAGAAGCAGGAGAAAGAGGAGGACGAGGAUGAGGAGGAAGGUGGUGCUUUAGGUAGCGGCCAUGUAACAGGGGUUUUGUUUGUCCCAGUCAGAAGUUUGGAUUUUACUGCAAAUAUUAUGGGACAUCAUUGCGG
rnacentral:lncRNA from 1 species